CAGCAGCAGCCACGGUAAGACAGGGGAUGCAAGCGUUAUCCGGAAUGAUUGGGCGUAAAGCGUCUGUAGGUGGCUUUUCAAGUCCGCCGUCAAAUCCCAGGGCUCAACCCUGGACAGGCGGUGGAAACUACCAAGCUGGAGUACGGUAGGGGCAGAGGGAAUUUCCAGUGGAGCGGUGAAAUGCGUUGAGAUCGAAAAGAACACCAACAGCGAAAGCACUCUGCUGGGACGACACUGACACUAAGAGACGAAAGCUAGGGGAGCAAAUGGGAUUAGAUACCCCAGUAGUCCCUGUCUCUUAUAC
rnacentral:rRNA from 1 species